rnacentral:snRNA from 1 species
AUACCUUUCUCGGCCUUUUGGCUAAGAUCAAGUGUAGUAUCUGUUCUUAUCAGUUUAAUAUCUGAUAUGUGGGUCAUCGGUCCACACGAUAUAACCUGUGCUUUUGUGAGUCGCCCAUGCGUUGCACUACUGCGCGGGCCUGGCUCACCCCAU